rnacentral:rRNA from 1 species
AUUGAACGCUGGCGGCAGGCCUAACACAUGCAAGUCGAACGGUAACAGGAAGCAGCUUGCUGCUUUGCUGACGAGUGGCGGACGGGUGAGUAAUGUCUGUGAAACUGCCUGAUGGCGGGGGUUAACUCCUGGAAACGGUGGCUAUAACCCCAUAACGUCCCAAGACCAAAAAGGGGGACUUCUUGGCCCCUUGCCCUCUAUUUUGCCCCGUUGGGAUUAGCUAGUGGGUGGGGUAACGGCUCCCCUAGGCGACGAUCCCUAGCUGGUCUGAGAGGAUGACCAGCCACACUGGAACUGAGACACGGUCCAGACUCCUACGGGAGGCAGCAGUGGGGAAUAUUGCACAAUGGGCGCAAGCCUGAUGCAGCCAUGCCGCGUGUAUGAAGAAGGCCUUCGGGUUGUAAAGUACUUUCAGCGGGGAGGAAGAGAGUAAAGUUAAUACCUUGGCUCAUUGACGUUACCCGAAGAAGAAGCACCGGCUAACUCCGUG